rnacentral:rRNA from 1 species
AGAGUUUGAUUCUGGCUCAGGAUGAACGCUGGCGGCGUGCUUAACACAUGCAAGUCGAACGGAGAUCAAUUCAACAGAGACUUCGGUUGAAGCUGUUUUGAUCCUAGUGGCGGACGGGUGAGUAACGCGUGGGUAACCUGCCUCACACUGGGGGAUAACAGUCAGAAAUGACUGCUAAUACCGCAUAAGCGCACAGCAUCGCAUGAUGCAGUGUGAAAAACUCCGGUGGUGUGAGAUGGACCCGCGUUGGAUUAGCUGGUUGGCAGGGCAGCGGCCUACCAAGGCGACGAUCCAUGGCCGGCCUGAGAGGGUGAACGGCCACAUUGGGACUGAGACACGGCCCAGACUCCUACUGGAGGCAGCAGUGGGGAAUAUUGCACAAUGGGGGAAACCCUGAUGCAGCGACGCCGCGUGAAGGAAGAAGUAUCUCGGUAUGUAAACUUCUAUCAGCAGGGAAGAUAAUGACGGUACCUGACUAAGAAGCCCCGGCUAACUACGUGCCAGCAGCCGCGGUAAUACGUAGGGGGCAAGCGUUAUCCGGAUUUACUGGGUGUAAAGGGAGCGUAGACGGCGCGUUAAGUCUGAUGUGAAAGGCAGGGGCUCAACUCCUGGACUGCAUUGGAAACUGGCGUGCUUGAGUGCCGGAGAGGUAAGCGGAAUUCCUAGUGUAGCGGUGAAAUGCGUAGAUAUUAGGAGGAACACCAGUGGCGAAGGCGGCUUACUGGACGGUAACUGACGUUGAGGCUCGAAAGCGUGGGGAGCAAACAGGAUUAGAUACCCUGGUAGUCCACGCCGUAAAC